rnacentral:rRNA from 1 species
AUGGUUUGGAAAGUUUGGGCUCCUCUGAAGAUCAAAUUCUUUGCUUGGUUGGCUAUUCAAGAUAGGAUCUGGACUGCGGACCGCCUAGAGAGGCGCGGGUGGGCCAACUGUGGUCUGUGCCCUCUUUGCUCUAGGGAGCAGGAAACGGGUGCUCAUCUUCUCUUCAAGUGUCGCUUCACUAUUCGGCUUUGGAGGUCUCUCGCGGCCAAGCUUGGCCUUCAUCACAUUGACACCUCCGGAUGGCAUCUUCAUGACUCCGUCCUGGAUUGGUGGAAAGAUGGUACUGGGAGACACGUCCCCAACAGGAGUGCCUUGGCCUCCCUCACACUCCUCGUCUCCUGGACCAUCUGAAAUGAACGUAAUGCUAGGGUGUUCCGACACAAAAGUGCUCCGCCGCCUAUUCUUCUUAACACAAUCCUUGAGGAGGCCAAGCUUUGGGUUACAGCUGGUGCAAAGAAACUAGGGCCUAUUGUAUUUUGUGAGUAG